UACGUAGGGGGCAAGCGUUGUCCGGAUUUAUUGGGCGUAAAGAGCGUGUAGGCGGCUAGAUAGGUCCGUUGUGAAAACUCGAGGCUCAACCUCGAGACGUCGAUGGAAACCAUCUGGCUAGAGUCCGGAAGAGGAGAGUGGAAUUCCUGGUGUAGCGGUGAAAUGCGCAGAUAUCAGGAAGAACACCGGUGGCGAAGGCGGGUCUCUGGGAAGUAACUGACGCUGAGAAGCGAAAGCAUGGGUAGCAAACAGG
rnacentral:rRNA from 1 species